rnacentral:rRNA from 1 species
AGCUCCAAUAGCGUAUAUUAAAGUUGCUGCAGUUAAAAAGCUCGUAGUUGCAUUUCCGAGGCAAGGGAUUAGUCCGACCUUUGGUGGGUAUUUAAUCCUCUUGCCUCGUCCUUGAGUGGUGCUUCUUGGUAUUAAGUUAUCGAGGAGAUAGCCGCUCAUCGUUUACUGUGAGAAAAUUAGAGUGUUCAAAGCAGGCUUAUGCCGUUGAAUAUAUUAGCAUGGAAUAAUAAGAUAGGACCUCGGUACUAUUUUGUUGGUUUGAGAACCAAGGUAAUGAUGAAUAGGGACAGUUGGGGGUAUUCGUAUUCAGUUGUCAGAGGUGAAAUUCUUAGAUUUACGGAAGACGAACUACUGCGAAAGCAUUUGCCAAGAAUGUCUUCA